UACGAGGGGUCCAAGCGUUGCUCGGAAUCAUUGGGCGUAAAGCGGGUGUAGGUGGCUUUGUAAGUCAGGAGUGAAAGCCCUGGGCUUAACCCAGGAAGUGCUUUUGAUACUGCAAAGCUUGAGUGUGGGAGAGGAUCGUGGAAUUCCAGGUGUAGUGGUGAAAUACGUAGAUAUCUGGAGGAACACCGGUGGCGAAGGCGGCGAUCUGGCCCAACACUGACACUCAGACCCGAAAGUGCGGGGAUCAAACAGG
rnacentral:rRNA from 1 species